AUAAUUCCUGUGGCUAUGAUUUCACACACGUUAUUAGUCUAAAAAGCAGACGUGAAGCUAUUGAAUCCAUACAAAGAGUAUUGGAAUUGCAAAAUAAUAAUAUAAUAUAAACCCAUGGUUAAUUUGGAAUUUUAGGGCAAGGUAAAUAUCUUCUUUUUUUUUUCUCAUUUAAUGCACUCAGAAUUUCUCUAUAUACACAUGGAUACACAGUACCAUCCCUUCUAAAACAAAAAUCAGC